UACGUAGGGUGCAAGCGUUGUCCGGAAUUAUUGGGCGUAAAGAGCUCGUAGGCGGUCUGUCGCGUCUGCUGUGAAGCUCAGGCUUAACCCUGAGCUUGCAGUGGGUACGGGCAGACUAGAGUGCGGUAGGGGAGACUGGAAUUCCUGGUGUAGCGGUGAAUGCGCAGAUAUCAGGAGGAACACCGGUGGCGAAGGCGGCUCACUGGCCCGUUUCUGACGCUGCAGCGCGAAAGCGUGGGAUCAAACAGG
rnacentral:rRNA from 1 species